AAACUGCUUAGGUGAUACUCAGGGGCUAUUUUGGACCUGCCACCAAAGAUAAGGGACCAUAUUUGUCAUUUUCUCCAUGGAAAAAUGACGAUCACUAUUCCAGUUACUCUUGUAAAUCAGUCCCUUCCUGUUCAAUUAGUGUAGAAGAAAGUCUACCAAUACUUUAGUAAAUUGAUUUGAUUUAACAUAUUCAUCAGAAACCCUAAACCCCUCAUUAUCUACGUAAUUGUGGCAGAUGAUAAUGUAUUCAAUUUCUUGGUAAACAAUGCUGUGUGUUCGAAGAAAAUUGGGCGAAUUUUGUAGACAAAAUCACACGUUGUCUAGUCGUGAUGGGCCUAGUGUGACGUUGAAGAAAAAGGUAGGUGAAUUAAAGGAGAAGAAGAAACGAAAAGACCCUAGGAAAAAUCAGUUAUUUGUACAGGUACCUGAUUCAAGAUCAUUUCUUGAUACUGCUACUAUGCCCAUGAUACUCACUGUCGUUGGCACCGCACUUUUCGCAAAGCUCCUCAUGAUGUAUGAUGACUCGAAGUCCCAAGAAAUGAUCGAGCGAAAAAUAAAGAAUGCGCCUGCUGGUCAAGGGACAGUUAGGAUGCUUACCCGCGAGGAAUGGGAAUCAGUUCAGGAUGUGCGACCAAGAACCCCGUUUGAAUCUAAACUAGCUCGUCCAAAUGCAAGGCUAAGGACAGGGGAGCCUUUGAAGAUGCAUUGAGCAUCUAUCGGGAAACCCUUUCAGCGACACCGCACAUCUUUGCAGUGGCUUUUUUGGUGGUGCCGUGCAUCUUUCCAGUAACCUUUCCGGCAACACCACACGCCUUUUUGGUGACCUUUCCUGCAGUACCUGCAUUUUUGCUUCAGCAAUUAUUCCAGGAGCACGAGUGUUUUGUCCACUAUUCCUGCAACUACAGUGACGAUCUUCUGGCAGUCAGAACUAAUCUUUUCCCAUGACUUUUUGGGAAGAUGUCAAGGAUUGGACAAUAGAUGUUAUAACUGAUGCACUAACACGAGCUGAAGAAUGUGCUAAACGAGGAUCUAACUAGCUUUUAAGUUGAUAAUAUUGGUGAGCUUGUUUAAUCACAGCUGCUGCUUAUGUACCAGAAGGGCUUGUCAACCUCAGAUGCCCAUUUCAAUGUACCAUCCUUCUAUUAGCAGGUGGAAAAUGUUGCUUUUCUAACCGGCCAGCAACGGCUAAGCUUAGUGCUAGCUGAAAGUGUGCUGUGCAAAAUCUUAGAACCUCGAAGAUUUUUUUUCCUAUAGAAUGUAUUCUAUGGUUGUGAUAGUUUGUCUUUUACAUUGUUGGAAGUGGUAAACUUAGGUCAACAUACUGAACAUUUCCUUUGAAUCACAUGCCAGAAAAUAUUGGUCUAAGAAGCCUCUCUUUUGAGUUGCUUCUAAUUGUCUUCGUGAGUAUAGUUGGAACUGGUAUCUAGAGGAAAAAUGCUAAUUCUUGGUGUUAUGUUGGA